ACCGCAUGGUAAAAACUCCGGUGGUAUGAGAUGGACCCGCGUCUGAUUAGCUGGUUGGCGGGGUAACGGCCCACCAAGGCGACGAUCAGUAGCCGACCUGAGAGGGUGACCGGCCACAUUGGGACUGAGACACGGCCCAAACUCCUACGGGAGGCAGCAGUGGGGAAUAUUGCACAAUGGGGGAAACCCUGAUGCAGCAACGCCGCGUGAGUGAAGAAGUAUUUCGGUAUGUAAAGCUCUAUCAGCAGGGAAGAAAGUGACGGUACCUGACUAAGAAGCCCCGGCUAACUACGUGCCAGCAGCCGCGGUAAUACGUAGGGGGCAAGCGUUAUCCGGAUUUACUGGGUGUAAAGGGAGCGUAGACGGCGAAGCAAGUCUGAAGUGAAAGCCCGGGGCUCAACCGCGGGACUGCUUUGGAAACUGUUUUGCUAGAGUGCUGGAGAGGUAAGUGGAAUUCCUAGUGUAGCGGUGAAAUGCGUAGAUAUUAGGAGGAACACCAGUGGCGAAGGC
rnacentral:rRNA from 1 species